GAUGAACGCUGGCGGCGUGCCUAAUACAUGCAAGUCGAGCGAACAGACGAGGAGCUUGCUCCUCUGACGUUAGCGGCGGACGGGUGAGUAACACGUGGAUAACCUACCUAUAAGACUGGGAUAACUUCGGGAAACCGGAGCUAAUACCGGAUAAUAUAUUGAACCGCAUGGUUCAAUAGUGAAAGACGGUCUUGCUGUCACUUAUAGAUGGAUCCGCGCCGCAUUAGCUAGUUGGUAAGGUAACGGCUUACCAAGGCAACGAUGCAUAGCCGACCUGAGAGGGUGAUCGGCCACACUGGAACUGAGACACGGUCCAGACUCCUACGGGAGGCAGCAGUAGGGAAUCUUCCGCAAUGGGCGAAAGCCUGACGGAGCAACGCCGCGUGAGUGAUGAAGGUCUUCGGAUCGUAAAACUCUGUUAUUAGGGAAGAACAUAUGUGUAAGUAACUGUGCACAUCUUGACGGUACCUAAUCAGAAAGCCACGGCUAACUACGUG
rnacentral:rRNA from 1 species